rfam:Picea glauca, whole genome shotgun sequence.
GUAAUGGUGUCUUUCGACACCACCCUUUAUCUUUGAAAAUUGUUC